UGGUUCUGGCAUCGAUGAAGAACGCAGCGAAAUGCGAUAAGUAAUGUGAAUUGCAGAAUUCAGUGAAUCAUCGAAUCUUUGAACGCACAUUGCGCCCAUCAGCAUUCUGAUGAGCAUGCCUGUUCGAGCGUCAUUUCAGCCCUCAGGCUCCGUGCUCGGUGUUGGACGGCCGGUUCGGGCGACCGAACCCCUCCUAAAGACAAUGACGGCGGCCUGUGGUUCCCCCGGCACACUGAGCCUCUGGCACGUGUCGGACGAGGGCGCCCAGGACCCGGUCCUCUCCUCUCACCAGGAAAUUUCUCAAGGUUGACCUCGGAUCAGGUAGGAAUACGCGCUGA
rnacentral:misc_RNA from 1 species